GACGAACGCUGGCGGCGUGCCUAAUACAUGCAAGUCGAGCGCAGAAAACUGACGGAACUCUUCGGAGGGAAGGCAGUGGAAUGAGCGGCGGACGGGUGAGUAACACGUAAGGAACCUGCCUCAAGGAUUGGGAUAACUCCGAGAAAUCGGAGCUAAUACCGGAUAGUUCAACGGACCGCAUGGUCCGCUGAUGAAAGGCGCUUCGGCGUCACCUUGAGAUGGCCUUGCGGUGCAUUAGCUAGUUGGUGGGGUAACGGCCCACCAAGGCGACGAUGGAUAGCAGACGUGGGAGGGUGCGCGGCCACAAUGGGUAUGAGACACGGCCCAGACUCCUACGGGAGGCAGCAGUAGGGAAUCUUCCACAAUGGAUGAAAGUCGGAUGGAGCAACGCCGCGUGAGUGAUGAAGGUUUUCGGAUCGUAAAACUCUGUUGUUAGGGAUGAACACGUACGAGAGGAAAUGCUCGUACCUUGACGGUACCUUACGAGAAAGCCACGGCUAACUACGUGCCAGCAGCCGCCGUAACAC
rnacentral:rRNA from 1 species